rnacentral:rRNA from 1 species
AUGGCGCUCGCGCUGCGCUGCCCCGCCGCCGCCUCGCCGUCGCCGGCCAGGGGCCCCUUCCCCAACGCCUCCUCCCACUCCCAGUCGGCUGCGAGGCCCGCGAGGAGGCCGGCGGGGGGCUGCAGGUGCCACUACUACCACGGCGACGGCCCCCCAAGGAGCUACGACCACAUCCCCAAGCAGUUCCGCGAGGAGAACCUAAAGGAUGGCCUGAUGGAUAAUUACAAGAAUGUUCCUCAGUUCCUUUAUGGCUUAAGCCCAUCUCAGAUGGAAAUGUUUACAACUGACGACAACCCUUAUAAUCGGCAGUCAAAGAAAGUUACAGAGGAAAGCGUUUCUGCUUUGAGGAGUUAUGAUGAAUUCGGUAUGUACUCCUUAUCAGGCACACAUGAGGGCCCUGCGAGUUACAGCAUGGGUAUGGGCAUGCCCAGCAUGAGCAUGGGAAGAGCAGGGAAAGGAUAUAGAAGAAUGAGAAGCUCAGCCCCAGAUCUGCCAUCAUUGCUGUUGGACUCCCGAAUUAUAUUUCUUGGAAUGCCAAUUGUUCCAGCUGUAACUGAGCUUAUUGCUGCUCAGUUUCUGUGGCUAGACUAUGAUGACCGCACAAAGCCAAUUUACUUGUAUAUAAACUCAACAGGAACCAUGGAUGAAAAUAACGAGCUGGUCGCAUCUGAAACUGAUGCCUAUGCAAUUGCUGAUUUCAUUAAUCGAAGCAAAGCUAAGGUUUACACCAUCAAUCUUAGCAUGGCAUAUGGUCAGGCUGCAAUGCUUCUUUCCCUGGGGAUGAAGGGUAAAAGAGGAGUGUUACCAAAUUCGAUAACUAAACUGCACCUGCCCAAGGUCCACAAAUCCGGUGGAGCUGCCAUUGAUAUGUGGAUUAAGGCAAAAGAGCUGGAAACCAACACGGACUACUACCUGGAGCUCGUGUCCAAGGGAGUCGGUAAACCGAAGGAAGAGCUCGCGGAGUUCCUGAGAGGCCCGAGGUACUUCCGCGCGCAGGAGGCCAUUGACUACGGGCUCGCGGACACGAUCCUGCACUCGCUGGACGGCUCUUUCAAGCCGAAGGACCUGACGGCGCAGCUGGCCAAGGCGCAGGAGAUGCGGCAGUCUGGGAAGCGCGCACCAGCUGGAGCUGGGCGAUGGUCGACUCCGACCGCUCCCAGGUAG